rnacentral:lncRNA from 1 species
GACAGCUUAUCAUUAUACAUGUAAAAGAAUUUAAAAAAGAACCAGAUGCUCCACAGGGUGCAGCUUUAUACGACCACAGAGUUCGAAACCCUGAACUGUUUGGGCAAGUAUUAACACAACAUUCAAGCUUGAUACAGCUCUGAAUUUGGAUUGUGAUUAAAAAGUUGACACAACAUAGGUUUCUGACACAGAAUGAAUGUG